rnacentral:rRNA from 1 species
UACGUAGGUGGCAAGCGUUGUCCGGAUUUAUUGGGCGUAAAGAGCUUGUAGGCGGCUCGUCGCGUCGGGUGUGAAAACUUGCGGCUUAACCGCAAGCCUGCACCCGAUACGGGCAGGCUAGAGUUCGGCAGGGGAGACUGGAAUUCCUGGUGUAGCGGUGGAAUGCGCAGAUAUCAGGAGGAACACCGGUGGCGAAGGCGGGUCUCUGGGCCGAUACUGACGCUGAGAAGCGAAAGCGUGGGGAGCGAACAGG